rnacentral:rRNA from 1 species
CAGGAUGAACGCUAGCUACAGGCUAACACAUGCAAGUCGUGGGGCAGCAUGGAGGUUGCUGCAACUUCUGAUGGCGACCGGCGCACGGGUGAGUAACGCGUAUCCAACCUGGGCCCUUAGUAGGGAGUAGCCCGGCGAAAGUCGGAUUAAUACCCUAUGUUCUUCUUUGACGGCAUCUGACGAGAAGCAAAGAUUCAUCGCUAAGGGAUGGGGAUGCGUCUGAUUAGGUAGUAGGCGGGGUAACGGCCCACCUAGCCGACGAUCAGUAGGGGUUCUGAGAGGAAGGUCCCCCACAUUGGUACUGAGACACGGACCAAACUCCUACGGGAGGCAGCAGUGAGGAAUAUUGGUCAAUGGGCGAGAGCCUGAACCAGCCAAGUAGCGUGCAGGAAUGACUGCCCUAUGGGUUGUAAACUGCUUUUAUGCGGGAAUAAAGUGCACUACGUGUAGUGUUUUGUAUGUACCGCAUGAAUAAGGACCGGCUAAUUCCGUGCCAGCCGCCGC